UCGGGAAUUUUGGGCAAUGGGCGAAAGCCUGACCCAGCAACGCCGCGUGAAGGAUGAAAUCCCUCGGGAUGUAAACUUCGCAAGAUUGGGAAGAAUUAGUAGGGGUUAAUACCCCCUAUGAUGACGGUACCUUUUGUAAGCUCCGGCUAACUCCGUGCCAGCAGCCGCGGUAAUACGGGGGGAGCAAGCGUUGUUCGGAUUUACUGGGCGUAAAGGGCGCGUAGGCGGUCAGCACAAGUCAGUUGUGAAAUCUCCGGGCUUAACUCGGAAAGGUCAACUGAUACUGUGCGACUAGAGUGCAGAAGGGGCAACUGGAAUUCUCGGUGUAGCGGUGAAAUGCGUAGAUAUCGAGAGGAACACCUGCGGCGAAGGCGGGUUGCUGGGCUGACACUGACGCUGAGGCGCGAAAGCCAGGGGAGCGAACGGGAUUAGAUACCCCGGUAGUCCUGGCCUUAAACGAUGGAUGCUUGGUGUCUGGAGUUAUAUAGUCUCCGGGUGCCGCAGCUAAC
rnacentral:rRNA from 1 species